UUCGGUGGAUUUUAAAUUGACUGAGCGGCGGACGGGUGAGUAACGCGUGGAUAACCUGCCUUUCAGAGAGGAAUAACAUUUGGAAACGAAUGGUAAUACCACAUAACAUUACGUUCUCGCAUGGGGAUGUAAUCAAAGAUUUAUCGCUGAGAGAUGGACUCGCGUCCGAUUAGCUAGAUGGUGAGGUAACGGCCCACCAUGGCGACGAUCAGUAGCCGGACUGAGAGGUUGACCGGCCACAUUGGGACUGAGAUACGGCCCAGACUCC
rnacentral:rRNA from 1 species